GAUCAUGGCUCAGGAUGAACGCUAGCUACAGGCUUAACACAUGCAAGUCGAGGGAAACGACAUCGAAAGCUUGCUUUUGAUGGGCGUCGACCGGCGCACGGGUGAGUAACGCGUAUCCAACCUGCCCAUCACUUGGGGAUAACCCGUCGAAAGGCGGCCUAACACGAUAUGCGGUUCUCAGCAGGCAUCUAACGAGAACGAAAUGUGAAGGAGAAGGAUGGGGAUGCGUCUGAUUAGCUUGUUGGCGGGGUAACGGCCCACCAAGGCGACGAUCAGUAGGGGUUCUGAGAGGAAGGUCCCCCACAUUGGAACUGAGACACGGUCCAAACUCCUACGGGAGGCAGCAGUGAGGAAUAUUGGUCAAUGGACGGGAGUCUGAACCAGCCAAGUAGCGUGCAGGACGACGGCCCUAUGGGUUGUAAACUGCUUUUAUAGGGGGAUAAAGUGUGCCACGUGUGGCAUAUUGCAGGUACCCUAUGAAUAAGGACCGGCUAAUUCCGUG
rnacentral:rRNA from 1 species